UACGUAGGCAGCGAGCGUUGUUCGGAAUUACUGGGCGUAAAGCGUGCGCAGGCGGUUAUGCAAGACAGAUGUGAAAUCCCCGGGCUCAACCUGGGAACUGCAUUUGUGACUGCAUGACUAGAGUACGGCAGAGGGGGAUGGAAUUCCGCGUGUAGCAGUGAAAUGCGUAGAUAUGCGGAGGAACACCGAUGGCGAAGGCAAUCCCCUGGGCCAAUACUGACGCUCAGGCACGAAAGCGUGGGGAGCAAACAGG
rnacentral:rRNA from 1 species